GUCUAUGGCUAUGCCACCCUAAACAAGCCUGAUCCUUCUGAUCCCAUUUGAUCUAGAAAGCUAAGCAGGAUCAGGCCUGGUUAGUACUUGAAUGGGAAACCACCAAGGAACACCAGGUGCUAUAGAUG
rnacentral:rRNA from 1 species